rnacentral:rRNA from 1 species
CAAUAGCGUAUAUUUAAGUUGUUGCAGUUAAAAAGCUCGUAGUUGGAUUUCGGAUGGGGCUUGCCGGUCCGUCGUUUCGAUGUGCACUGGCCAGUCCUAUCUUGUUGUCGGGGACUAGCUCCUGGGCUUCACUGUCCGGGACUAGGAGCUGACGAGGUUACUUUGAGUAAAUUAGAGUGUUCAAAGCAAGCCUACGCUCUGAAUACAUUAGCAUGGAAUAACACGAUAGGACUCUGGCUUAUCUUGUUGGUCUGUGAGACCAGAGUAAUGAUUAAGAGGGACAGUCGGGGGCAUUCGUAUUUCAUUGUCAGAGGUGAAAUUCUUGGAUUUAUGAAAGACGAACUUCUGCGAAAGCAUUUGUCAAGGAUGUUUNCAUUA